UGGGGAAUUUUGGACAAAGGGGGAAACCCUGAUCCAGCCAUCCCGCGUGUGCGAUGAAGGCCUUCGGGUUGUAAAGCACUUUUGGCAGGAAAGAAACGUCAUGGGUUAAUACCCCGUGAAACUGACGGUACCUGCAGAAUAAGCACCGGCUAACUACGUGCCAGCAGAGGCGGUAAUACGCAGGGUGCAAGCGUUAAUCGGAAUUACUGGGCGUAAAGCGUGCGCAGGCGGUUCGGAAAGAAAGAUGUGAAAUCCCAGAGCUAAACUUUGGAACUGCAUUUUUAACUACCGGGCUAGAGUGUGUCAGAGGGAGGUGGAAUUCCGCGUGUAGCAGUGAAAUGCGUAGAUAUGCGGAGGAACACCGAUGGCGAAGGCAGCCUCCUGGGAUAACACUGACGCUCAUGCACGAAAGCGUGGGGAGCAAACAGG
rnacentral:rRNA from 1 species